rnacentral:ncRNA from 1 species
CUACGGACUUAAUUGGAUUGGAUUGAGCCUUGGUAUGGAAACCUACUAAGUUAUAACUUUCAAAUUCAGAGAAACCCUGGAAUGAACAGUGAGCAAUCCUGAGCCAAAUCCUAUUAUCUUACGAAAAUAAACAAACAAAGGUUCAGCAAGGGAGAAUAAGAAAAAGGAUAGGUGCAGAGACUCAAUGGAAGCUAUUCUAACAAAUAAGGGUGACUCCGUUUGUCUUGGUAAAGGAUUCCUUAUAUCGAAACUCCAUAAAGGAUGAAAG